rnacentral:rRNA from 3 species
CGGGAGGGCGUUUACCACGGUGUGGUUCAUGACUGGGGUGAAGUCGUAACAAGGUAGCCCUAGGGGAACCUGGGGCUGGAUCACCUCCUUACCUAAAGA